CCUGGCUCAGGAUGAACGCUAGCUACAGGCUUAACACAUGCAAGUCGAGGGGCAGCAUGGUCUUAGCUUGCUAAGGCUGACGGCGACCGGCGCACGGGUGAGUAACACGUAUCCAACCUGCCGUCUACUCUUGGACAGCCUUCUGAAAGGAAGAUUAAUACAAGAUGGCAUCAUGAGUCCGCAUGUUCACAUGAUUAAAGGUAUUCCGGUAGACGAUGGGGAUGCGUUCCAUUAGAUAGUAGGCGGGGUAACGGCCCACCUAGUCUUCGAUGGAUAGGGGUUCUGAGAGGAAGGUCCCCCACAUUGGAACUGAGACACGGUCCAAACUCCUACGGGAGGCAGCAGUGAGGAAUAUUGGUCAAUGGGCGAGAGCCUGAGCCAGCCAAGUAGCGUGAAGGAUGACUGCCCUAUGGGUUGUAAACUUCUUUUAUAAAGGAAUAAAGUCGGGUAUGGAUACCCGUUUGCAUGUACUUUAUGAAUAAGGAUCGGCUAACUCCGUGCCAGCAGCCGCGGUAAUACGGAGGAUCCGAGCGUUAUCCGGAUUUAUUGGGUUUAAAGGGAGCGUAGAUGGAUGUUUAAGUCAGUUGUGAAAGUUUGCGGCUCAACCGUAAAAUUGCAGUUGAUACUGGAUAUCUUGAGUGCAGUUGAGGCAGGCGGAAUUCGUGGUGUAGCGGUGAAAUGCUUAGAUAUCACGAAGAACUCCGAUUGCGAAGGCAGCCUGCUAAGCUGCAACUGACAUUGAGGCUCGAAAGUGUGGGUAUCAAACAGGAUUAGAUACCCUGGUAGUCCACACGGUAAACGAUGAAUACUCGCUGUUUGCGAUAUACUGCAAGCGGCCAAGCGAAAGCGUUAAGUAUUCCACCUGGGGAGUACGCCGGCAACGGUGAAACUCAAAGGAAUUGACGGGGGCCCGCACAAGCGGAGGAACAUGUGGUUUAAUUCGAUGAUACGCGAGGAACCUUACCCGGGCUUAAAUUGCAGAUGAAUUACGGUGAAAGCCGUAAGCCGCAAGGCAUCUGUGAAGGUGCUGCAUGGUUGUCGUCAGCUCGUGCCGUGAGGUGUCGGCUUAAGUGCCAUAACGAGCGCAACCCUUGUUGUCAGUUACUAACAGGUUCCGCUGAGGACUCUGACAAGACUGCCAUCGUAAGAUGUGAGGAAGGUGGGGAUGACGUCAAAUCAGCACGGCCCUUACGUCCGGGGCUACACACGUGUUACAAUGGGGGGUACAGAGGGCCGCUACCACGCGAGUGGAUGCCAAUCCCCAAAACCUCUCUCAGUUCGGACUGGAGUCUGCAACCCGACUCCACGAAGCUGGAUUCGCUAGUAAUCGCGCAUCAGCCACGGCGCGGUGAAUACGUUCCCGGGCCUUGUACACACCGCC
rnacentral:rRNA from 1 species